CAGAGAAGAAUGGGAGAAACUCCACAAAUACAGGUGUGCCAAACUUGUAGCAUCAUACCCAAGAAGACUUGAGGCUAUAAACUCUGCCAAAGGUGCUUCAAAGUACUGAGUAAAGGGUCUGAAUACUUAUAUAAAUGUGAUAUUUUUUAAAUAUUUGAUACAUUUGCAAAAAUGUCUUGCUUUGUUAUUAUGGGGGUAUGAGGAGAAAAAACAAACAUUUAAUCAAUUCUAGAAUAAAAUUGAAAACAGCAAGGGUCCUAAACAGCUGCCCUGGAGAAUGCCUGAUUCUACCUGGAUUAUGUUGGAGAGGCUUCCAUUAAAGAACACCCUCUGUUCUGUUAGACAGGUAACUCUUCAUCCACAUUAUAGCAGGGGGUGUAAAGCCAUAACACCCUCUGUGUUCUGUUAGACAGGUAACUCUUCAUCCACAUUAUAGCAGGGGGUGUAAAGCCAUAACACCCUCUGUGUUCUGUUAGACAGGUAACUCUUCAUCCACAUUAUAGCAGGGGGUGUAAAGCCAUAACACCCUCUGUUCUGUUAGACAGGUAACUCUUCAUCCACAUUAUAGCAGGGGGUGUAAAGCCAUAACACCCUCUGUGUUCUGUUAGACAGGUAACUCUUCAUCCACAUUAUAGCAGGGGGUGUAAAGCCAUAACACCCUCUGUGUUCUGUUAGACAGGUAACUCUUCAUCCACAUUAUAGCAGGGGGUGUAAAGCCAUAACACCCUCUGUGUUCUGUUAGACAGGUAACUCUUCAUCCACAUUAUAGCAGGGGGUGUAAAGCCAUAACACCCUCUGUGUUCUGUUAGACAGGUAACUCUUCAUCCACAUUAUAGCAGGGGGUGUAAAGCCAUAACACCCUCUGUGUUCUGUUAGAUAGGUAACUCUUCAUCCACAUUAUAGCAGGGGUAUGAAGC